GCUUGCGAACCUGAGUAUGUGAGGCACAAUUCCAUCCCUUUUCGGAACAGUUCAAUCAUAGGUCAACUGAAUGUCACAUAAUCAAAGGUCUUUGACUGUGAGCAUUUGCUCAAAUUGGUUUCUUCUGAGUCUCUUUGAUUUUGCGUCAGGAGUUGUUAGAAACAUCAUUUUGCCCAACUUUAGUAACAAGGUCUUUAAUGAAAGCGAGUGCUUUCUAAGCUCAGCUCCCAGCAUGUAAUUACUCCAGUGAAACAGUGCAUGUAAAAUAUCAGGUGUUCGGAGUUCAGUAUUGACCUACCUAGUUUCUGCACCGCUAAUCGUCCAAGGCUGAAUGUGAUUAGAUCAAUUGGUAUCAUUUAUGAGAAGAAAUGGAAAGCUCGCAUAUCACCUUCCAUAUAUUAACUAAAUGCUCUUAUCAAGAGAUUGCCGUUUCGGUUGAUGUCUGUCAGUGAACCUUAAAAACUCAAGGAAACUAAGAGGUAAAUUUUGCAAUAUUUUAUCCUUAAAAUGCCUAUAUUACGACCAAAUACUUUCUUCGUGGCUAUUGCAUUUUUUAAAAUAACUUAAGGCACUACCUAGGUGGGCAAGUAUAUGAUUUGACAAAUUUUAUGGUGAAGCGAUAUUAUUCGAAAUUAAUCCAA